rnacentral:rRNA from 1 species
AGCAGCCGCGGUAAUUCCAGCUCCAAUAGCGUAUAUUAAAGUUGUUGCAGUUAAAAAGCUCGUAGUUGAAUUUCGGAAUCGACGGAUUGGUCGCGCCUUUGGUGUGUACUGGUCUUGCCGGUUUCUCCCUUCUGACGAACCACGAUGUCAUUAAUUUGGUGUCGUGGGGAAUCAGGACUGUUACUUUGAAAAAUUAGAGUGUUUAAAGCAGGCAUUAGCUUGAAUACAUUAGCAUGGAAUAAUGAAAUAGGACGUUUGAUCUUAUUUUGUUGGUUUCUAGGAUCGACGUAAUGAUUAAUAGGGAUAGUUGGGGGCAUUAGUAUUCAAUUGUCAGAGGUGAAAUUCUUGGAUUUAUUGAAGACUAACUACUGCGAAAGCAUUUGCCAAGGAUGUUUUCAUUAAUCAAGAACGAAAGUUAGGGGAUCGAAGACGAUCAGAUACCGUCGUAGUCUUAACCAUAAACUAUGCCGACUAGGGAUCGGAUGAUGUUAAUUUUUAAUGUACUCA